AUUGAACGCUGGCGGCAUGCCUUACACAUGCAAGUCGAACGGUAACAGGUCUUCGGACGCUGACGAGUGGCGAACGGGUGAGUAAUGCAUCGGAACGUGCCCAGUCGUGGGGGAUAACUGCUCGAAAGAGCAGCUAAUACCGCAUACGACCUGAGGGUGAAAGCGGGGGACCGUAAGGCCUCGCGCGAUUGGAGCGGCCGAUGUCAGAUUAGCUAGUUGGUGGGGUAAAGGCCUACCAAGGCAACGAUCUGUAGUUGGUCUGAGAGGACGACCAGCCACAUGGGGACGGGGACCCGCCCAGCACUCCGAGGGGGGGCAGAGGGGGGGAGUUUGGGAAAGGGGGCCAAAGCCUAACCCGCCAAGGCCGGGGGAGGAAAGAGGGCUUUGGGUUGGUAAAUGGUUUUUGCAGGGAAAAAAAUUUUCGGGGUAAAUCCCCGGGGGGGAUACGGGACCCAAAGAAAAAACAACCGGUAACCAAGG
rnacentral:rRNA from 1 species